CGGGGCGUGGCUCAGUCAGGUUAAGAGCGCUUGGUUCGGGACCAAGAGGUCUCCGGUUCAAAUCCGGACGCCCCGA
rnacentral:tRNA from 1 species